rnacentral:rRNA from 1 species
UACGUAGGGGGCUAGCGUUGUCCGGAUUUAUCGGGCGUAAAGAGCGUGUAGGCGGCCAGGUAGGUCUGGUGUGAAAACUCGAGGCUUAACCUCGAGAUGUCAUCGGAAACCAUCUGGCUAGAGUCCGGAAGAGGAGAGUGGAAUUCCUGGUGUAGCGGUGAAAUGCGCAGAUAUCAGGAAGAACACCAAUGGCGAAAGCAGCUCUCUGGGACGGUACUGACGCUGAGACGCGAAAGCGUGGGGAGCGAACAGG